AUUGAACGCUGGCGGCAUGCCUUACACAUGCAAGUCGAACGGCAGCGGGGGAGAAGCUUGCUUUUCCUGCCGGCGAGUGGCGAACGGGUGAGUAAUACAUCGGAACGUGCCCUGUAGUGGGGGAUAACUAGUCGAAAGAUUAGCUAAUACCGCAUACGACCUGAGGGUGAAAGUGGCGGACCGCAAGGCCUCAUGCUAUAGGAGCGCCCGAUGUCUGAUUAGCUAGUUGGUGGGGUAAAGGCCUACCAAGGCGACGAUCAGUAGCUGGUCUGAGAGGACGAUCAGCCACACUGGGGCUGAGACACGGCCCAGACUCCUACGGGAGGCAGCAGUGGGGAAUUUUGGACAAUGGGCGAAAGCCUGAUCCAGCAAUGCCGCGUGUGUGAAGAAGGCCUUCGGGUUGUAAAGCACUUUUGUCCGGAAAGAAAUGGCUCUGGUUAAUACCUGGGGUCGAUGACGGUACCGGAAGAAUAAGGACCGGCUAACUACGUGCCAGCCGCCGCGGUAA
rnacentral:rRNA from 1 species